rnacentral:rRNA from 1 species
CCUACGGGGAGCUGCAGUGAGGAAUAUUGGUCAAUGGGCGGAAGCCUGAACCAGCCAAGUAGCGUGCGGGAUGAAGGCCCUACGGGUCGUAAACCGCUUUUGCACGGGGAUAACACCCUCCACUUGUGGAGGUCUGCAGGUACCGUGCGAAUAAGGGCCGGCUAAUUCCGUGCCAGCAGCCGCGGUAAUACGGAAGGCCCGAGCGUUAUCCGGAUUCAUUGGGCUUAAAGGGAGCGUAGGCGGGCGUUCAAGUCAGCUGUAAAAUCGCGCGGCUCAACCGCGCCCCGCAGUUGAAACUGGACGCAUUGAGUUCACAACAGGCAGGCGGAAUUCGUGGUGUAGCGGUGAAAUGCAUAGAUAUCACGAGGAACCCCGAUUGCGAAGGCAGCCUGCCGGGGUGCGACUGACGCUGAGGCUCGAAGGUGCGGGUAUCAAACAGGAUUAGAUACCCUAGUAGUC